rnacentral:rRNA from 1 species
UACGUAGGGGGCGAGCGUUGUCCGGAAUUACUGGGUGUAAAGGGCGUGUAGGCGGGAUAUUAAGUCAGUUGUGAAACCCCCCGGCUCAACUGGGGGCAUGCAAUUGAAACUAAUAUUCUUGAGUGCAGGAGAGGAAAGCGGAAUUCCUAGUGUAGCGGUGAAAUGCGUAGAUAUUAGGAGGAACACCAGUGGCGAAGGCGGCUUUCUGGACUGUAACUGACGCUGAGACGCGAAAGCGUGGGGAG